UCGGAUAUGGUGUAACGGCUAACAUUGCCGCCUCUCAUAAUAAAUGCUUUCUGAUAUCUACGCGGCAGCUCGGGGUUCGAUUCCCCGUAUCCGAA